rnacentral:tRNA from 1 species
UCCCUGGUGGCCUAGUGGUUAGGACUCAGUGCUUUCACCGCGGCAGCCCAGGUUCCAUCCCUGGCCUGAGAA